rnacentral:rRNA from 1 species
UGCCAGACUCCUACGGGAGGCAGCAGUGGGGGAUAUUGCACAAUGGGGGGAACCCUGAUGCAGCGACGCCGCGUGGGUGAAGAAGCGCCUCGGCGCGUAAAGCCCUGUCAGCAGGGAAGAAAAUGACGGUACCUGAAGAAGAAGCCCCGGCUAACUACGUGCCAGCAGCCGCGGUAAUAUGUAGGGGGCAAGCGUUAUCCGGAUUUACUGGGUGUAAAGGGGGCGCAGACGGCGAUGCAAGCCAGGAGUGAAAGCCCGGGGCCCAACCCCGGGACUGCUCUUGGAACUGCGUGGCUGGAGUGCAGGAGGGGCAGGCGGAAUUCCUGGUGUAGCGGUGAAAUGCGUAGAUAUCAGGAGGAACACCGGUGGCGAAGGCGGUCUGCUGGACUGCAACUGACGUUGAGGCCCGAAAGCGUGGGGAGCAAACAGGAUUAGAUACCCCGGUA